UACGUAGGGUGCGAGCGUUAAUCGGAAUUACUGGGCGUAAAGCGUGCGCAGGCGGUUUUGUAAGCCAGAUGUGAAAUCCCCGGGCUUAACCUGGGAAUGGCAUUUGGGACUGCAAGGCUCGAGUGCGGCAGAGGAGACUGGAAUUCCUGGUGUAGCGGUGAAAUGCGCAGAUAUCAGGAGGAACACCGGUGGCGAAGGCGGGUUGCUGGGCUGACACUGACGCUGAAGCGCGAAAGCUAGGGGAGCGAACGGG
rnacentral:rRNA from 1 species